CUUUUCCAUGCAAGUCGAACGGCAGCGGGGGCUUCGGCCUGCCGGCGAGUGGCGAACGGGUGAGUAAUACAUCGGAACGUGUCCUUGAGUGGGGAAUAACGCAUCGAAAGAUGUGCUAAUACCGCAUAUUUCUCAGGAAGAAAGCAGGGGAUCGAAAGACCUUGCGCUAAAGGAGCGGCCGAUGUCUGAUUAGCUAGUUGGUGAGGUAAAGGCUUACCAAGGCAACGAUCAGUAGCUGGUCUGAGAGGACGAUCAGCCACACUGGGACUGAGACAUGGCCCAGACUCCUACGGGAGGCAGCAGUGGGGAAUUUUGGACAAUGGGCGAAAGCCUGAUCCAGCCAUGCCGCGUGAGUGAAGAAGGCCUUCGGGUUGUAAAGCUCUUUUAGUCGGAAAGAAAGAAUUAUGGUUAAUAGCCAUGAUUUAUGACGGUACCGACAGAAAAAGCACCGGCUAACUACGUGCCAGCAGCCGCGGUAAUACGUAGGGUGCGAGCGUUAAUCGGAAUUACUGGGCGUAAAGGGUGCGCAGGCGGCCUUGCAAGUCAGAUGUGAAAGCCCCGGGCUUAACCUGGGAAUUGCGUUUGAAACUACAAAGCUAGAGUGCAGCAGAGGGGAGUGGAAUUCCAUGUGUAGCAGUGAAAUGCGUAGAGAUGUGGAAGAACACCGAUGGCGAAGGCAGCUCCCUGGGUUGACACUGACGCUCAUGCACGAAAGCGUGGGGAGCAAACAGGAUUAGAUACCCUGGUAGUCCACGCCCUAAACUAUGUCAACUAGUUGUCGGAUCUAAUUAAGGAUUUGGUAACGUAGCUAACGCGUGAAGUUGACCGCCUGGGGAGUACGGUCGCAAGAUUAAAACUCAAAGAAAUUGACGGGGACCCGCACAAGCGGUGGAUUAUGUGGAUUAAUUCGAUGCACCGCGAAAAACCUUACCUACCCUUGACAUGCUUGGAAUCUAAUGGAGACAUAAGAGUGCCCGAAAGGGAGCCAA
rnacentral:rRNA from 1 species